GGCCCCAUCGUCUAGUGGUUAGGACACCAGGUUUUCAUCCUGGAAACAGGGGUUCGAUUCCCCUUGGGGCUGCCA
rnacentral:tRNA from 1 species